AUGGCCCUUACAGGGUGGGCUACACACGUGCUACAAUGGCGACUACAGAGGGUUAAUCCUUAAAAGUCGUCUCAGUUCGGAUUGUCCUCUGCAACUCGAGGGCAUGAAGUUGGAAUCGCUAGUAAUCGCGGAUCAGCAUGCCGCGGUGAAUACGUUCCCGGGCCUUGUACACACCGCCCGUCACACCAUGGGAGUUGGAUUCACCCGAAGGCAGUGCGCUAACCGCAAGGAGGCAGCUGACCACGGUGGGUUCAGCGACUGGGGUGAAGUCGUAACAAG
rnacentral:rRNA from 1 species